AUACGAAGGGUGCAAGCGUUACUCGGAAUUACUGGGCGUAAAGCGUGCGUAGGUGGUUGUUUAAGUCUGUCGUGAAAGCCCUGGGCUCAACCUGGGAAUGGCGAUGGAAACUGGGCGACUAGAGUGUGGCAGAGGGUAGUGGAAUUCCUGGUGUAGCAGUGAAAUGCGUAGAGAUCAGGAGGAACAUCCGUGGCGAAGGCGACUGCCUGGGCCAACACUGACACUGAGGCACGAAAGCGUGGGAGCAAACAGUAUUAGAUACCCUGGUAGUCCACGCCCUAAACGAUGCGAACUGGAUGUUGGGUGCAAUUUGGCACGCAGUAUCGAAGCUAACGCGUUAAGUUCGCCGCCUGGGGAGUACGGUCGCAAGACUGAAACUCAAAUGAAUUGGCGGGG
rnacentral:rRNA from 1 species